AGAGUUUGAUCAUGGCUCAGAGCGAACGCUGGCGGCAGGCCUAACACAUGCAAGUCGAGCGCCCAGCAAUGGGAGCGGCAGACGGGUGAGUAACACGUGGGAACCUUCCCUAUAGUACGGAAUAGCCCAGGGAAACUUGGAGUAAUACCGCAUACGCCCGAGAGGGGAAAGAUUUAUCGCUAUAGGAUGGGCCCGCGUAGGAUUAGCUAGUUGGUGAGGUAAUGGCUCACCAAGGCGACGAUCCUUAGCUGGUCUGAGAGGACGACCAGCCACACUGGGACUGAGACACGGCCCAGACUCCUACGGGAGGCAGCAGGUGGGGAAUAUUGGACAAUGGGCGCAAGCCUGAUCCAGCCAUGCCGCGUGAGUGAUGAAGGCCUUAGGGUUGUAAAGCUUCUUUGCCGGGGACGAUAAUGACGGUACCCGGAGAAUAAGUCCCGGCUAACUUCGUG
rnacentral:rRNA from 1 species